rnacentral:tRNA from 1 species
GUUUCCGUGGUUGAAUUACAACGGUGGUUUUUCGAGUCGCUGGUCCUGGUUAAAGUCUGGGCGGGAAUU